rnacentral:tmRNA from 1 species
GGGGUCGUCUUGGCUUCGACAGGAAUAUGCAUCUUUAUUUUGCAGGUCGAAUGUCUACGUUACAGACAAACAAAAAUAACUGGAAACAGAAAUAAUUUAGCUGUUGCAUACGCUUAAUUUAGCGGCACAGACUUCUCUACUACUUUGCUUAUGAGUUGUAACAGAAGUUAAUAAAAUAAGCUAUAAUGUAUUCUAUUCCUAUAAAAUACAUUGAAUUUAAUAGGAUAAUAAAUAUUAUUUUUGUUAAUUUAUAAGAUAUUUAUGAAUUUUUAAAAUUAACUAAACCUGUAGAUAAAUAUUGUAUAAUUAUUUUUGGACAGGGGUUCAACUCCCCUCGACUCCACCA